rnacentral:rRNA from 1 species
GGGUUGUGAGGUUAAGCGACUAAGCGUACACGGUGGAUGCCCUGGCAGUCAGAGGCGAUGAAGGACGUGCUAAUCUGCGAUAAGCGUCGGUAAGGUGAUAUGAACCGUUAUAACCGGCGAUUUCCGAAUGGGGAAACCCAGUGUGAUUCGUCACACUAUCAUUAACUGAAUCCAUAGGUUAAUGAGGCGAACCGGGGGAACUGAAACAUCUAAGUACCCCGAGGAAAAGAAAUCAACCGAGAUUCCCCCAGUAGCGGCGAGCGAACGGGGAGCAGCCCAGAGCCUGAAUCAGUGUGUGUGUUAGUGGAAGCGUCUGGAAAGGCGCGCGAUACAGGGUGACAGCCCCGUACACAAAAAUGCACAUGCUGUGAGCUCGAUGAGUAGGGCGGGACACGUGGUAUCCUGUCUGAAUAUGGGGGGACCAUCCUCCAAGGCUAAAUACUCCUGACUGACCGAUAGUGAACCAGUACCGUGAGGGAAAGGCGAAAAGAACCCCGGCGAGGGGAGUGAAAAAGAACCUGAAACCGUGUACGUACAAGCAGUGGGAGCACAGAGCAAUCUGUGUGACUGCGUACCUUUUGUAUAAUGGGUCAGCGACUUAUAUUCUGUAGCAAGGUUAACCGAAUAGGGGAGCCGAAGGGAAACCGAGUCUUAACUGGGCGUUAAGUUGCAGGGUAUAGACCCGAAACCCGGUGAUCUAGCCAUGGGCAGGUUGAAGGUUGGGUAACACUAACUGGAGGACCGAACCGACUAAUGUUGAAAAAUUAGCGGAUGACUUGUGGCUGGGGGUGAAAGGCCAAUCAAACCGGGAGAUAGCUGGUUCUCCCCGAAAGCUAUUUAGGUAGCGCCUCGUGAAUUCAUCUCCGGGGGUAGAGCACUGUUUCGGCAAGGGGGUCAUCCCGACUUACCAACCCGAUGCAAACUGCGAAUACCGGAGAAUGUUAUCACGGGAGACACACGGCGGGUGCUAACGUCCGUCGUGAAGAGGGAAACAACCCAGACCGCCAGCUAAGGUCCCAAAGUCAUGGUUAAGUGGGAAACGAUGUGGGAAGGCCCAGACAGCCAGGAUGUUGGCUUAGAAGCAGCCAUCAUUUAAAGAAAGCGUAAUAGCUCACUGGUCGAGUCGGCCUGCGCGGAAGAUGUAACGGGGCUAAACCAUGCACCGAAGCUGCGGCAGCGACGCUUAUGCGUUGUUGGGUAGGGGAGCGUUCUGUAAGCCUGCGAAGGUGUACUGUGAGGUAUGCUGGAGGUAUCAGAAGUGCGAAUGCUGACAUAAGUAACGAUAAAGCGGGUGAAAAGCCCGCUCGCCGGAAGACCAAGGGUUCCUGUCCAACGUUAAUCGGGGCAGGGUGAGUCGACCCCUAAGGCGAGGCCGAAAGGCGUAGUCGAUGGGAAACAGGUUAAUAUUCCUGUACUUGGUGUUACUGCGAAGGGGGGACGGAGAAGGCUAUGUUGGCCGGGCGACGGUUGUCCCGGUUUAAGCGUGUAGGCUGGUUUUCCAGGCAAAUCCGGAAAAUCAAGGCUGAGGCGUGAUGACGAGGCACUACGGUGCUGAAGCAACAAAUGCCCUGCUUCCAGGAAAAGCCUCUAAGCAUCAGGUAACAUCAAAUCGUACCCCAAACCGACACAGGUGGUCAGGUAGAGAAUACCAAGGCGCUUGAGAGAACUCGGGUGAAGGAACUAGGCAAAAUGGUGCCGUAACUUCGGGAGAAGGCACGCUGAUAUGUAGGUGAAGUCCCUCGCGGAUGGAGCUGAAAUCAGUCGAAGAUACCAGCUGGCUGCAACUGUUUAUUAAAAACACAGCACUGUGCAAACACGAAAGUGGACGUAUACGGUGUGACGCCUGCCCGGUGCCGGAAGGUUAAUUGAUGGGGUUAGCGCAAGCGAAGCUCUUGAUCGAAGCCCCGGUAAACGGCGGCCGUAACUAUAACGGUCCUAAGGUAGCGAAAUUCCUUGUCGGGUAAGUUCCGACCUGCACGAAUGGCGUAAUGAUGGCCAGGCUGUCUCCACCCGAGACUCAGUGAAAUUGAACUCGCUGUGAAGAUGCAGUGUACCCGCGGCAAGACGGAAAGACCCCGUGAACCUUUACUAUAGCUUGACACUGAACAUUGAGCCUUGAUGUGUAGGAUAGGUGGGAGGCUUUGAAGUGUGGACGCCAGUCUGCAUGGAGCCGACCUUGAAAUACCACCCUUUAAUGUUUGAUGUUCUAACGUUGACCCGUAAUCCGGGUUGCGGACAGUGUCUGGUGGGUAGUUUGACUGGGGCGGUCUCCUCCUAAAGAGUAACGGAGGAGCACGAAGGUUGGCUAAUCCUGGUCGGACAUCAGGAGGUUAGUGCAAUGGCAUAAGCCAGCUUGACUGCGAGCGUGACGGCGCGAGCAGGUGCGAAAGCAGGUCAUAGUGAUCCGGUGGUUCUGAAUGGAAGGGCCAUCGCUCAACGGAUAAAAGGUACUCCGGGGAUAACAGGCUGAUACCGCCCAAGAGUUCAUAUCGACGGCGGUGUUUGGCACCUCGAUGUCGGCUCAUCACAUCCUGGGGCUGAAGUAGGUCCCAAGGGUAUGGCUGUUCGCCAUUUAAAGUGGUACGCGAGCUGGGUUUAGAACGUCGUGAGACAGUUCGGUCCCUAUCUGCCGUGGGCGCUGGAGAACUGAGGGGGGCUGCUCCUAGUACGAGAGGACCGGAGUGGACGCAUCACUGGUGUUCGGGUUGUCAUGCCAAUGGCACUGCCCGGUAGCUAAAUGCGGAAGAGAUAAGUGCUGAAAGCAUCUAAGCACGAAACUUGCCCCGAGAUGAGUUCUCCCUGACUCCUUGAGAGUCCUGAAGGAACGUUGAAGACGACGACGUUGAUAGGCCGG